rnacentral:piRNA from 1 species
UGCCAAUGGGACAUGGGAUGCUGGUGAUU